GGAAAAUAUAUAUCCUCAGGUGAGGAGAUUGUGUAUAAAUAAAUGAAUUGUUGACCUGGAGAUUGGUAGCUUGUUCAAGAAAGUCCA
rfam:Myotis davidii contig123389, whole genome shotgun sequence.